rnacentral:rRNA from 1 species
GAUGAACGCUAGCUACAGGCUUAACACAUGCAAGUCGAGGGGAAACGAUAUUGGAAGCUUGCUUCCGAUAGGCGUCGACCGGCGCACGGGUGAGUAACGCGUAUCCAACCUGCCCACCACUUGGGAAUAACCUUGCGAAAGUAAGACUAAUGCCCAAUGAUAUCUCUAGAAGACAUCUGAAGGAAAUUAAAGAUUUAUCGGUGAUGGAUGGGGAUGCGUCUGAUUAGCUUGUUGGCGGGGUAACGGCCCACCAAGGCGACGAUCAGUAGGGGUUCUUAGAGGAAGGUCCCCCACAUUGGAACUGAGACACGGUCCAAACUCCUACGGGAGGCAGCAGUGAGGAAUAUUGGUCAAUGGGCGAGAGCCUGAACCAGCCAAGUAGCGUGCAGGAUGACGGCCCUAUGGGUUGUAAACUGCUUUUAUAAGGGAAUAAAGUUAGUCUCGUGAGACUUUUUGCAUGUACCUUAUGAAUAAGGACCGGCUAAUUCCUUGCCAGCCGCCGCAGUAA